AUUGAACGCUGGCGGCAUGCCUUACACAUGCAAGUCGAACGGUAACGGGCCUUCGGGUGCCGACGAGUGGCGAACGGGUGAGUAAUAUAUCGGAACGUACCUUUCAGUGGGGGAUAACGUAGCGAAAGUUACGCUAAUACCGCAUAUUCUGUGCGCAGGAAAGCAGGGGACCUUCGGGCCUUGCGCUGAUUGAGCGGCCGAUAUCAGAUUAGCUAGUUGGUGAGGUAAAGGCUCACCAAGGCGACGAUCUGUAGCGGGUCUGAGAGGAUGAUCCGCCACACUGGAACUGAGACACGGUCCAGACUCCUACGGGAGGCAGCAGUGGGGAAUUUUGGACAAUGGGGGCAACCCUGAUCCAGCCAUGCCGCGUGAGUGAAGAAGGCCUUCGGGUUGUAAAGCUCUUUCGGCCGGGAAGAAAUCGUAUGGGCUAAUACCCUGUGCGGAUGACGGUACCGGCAUAAGAAGCACCGGCUAACUACGUGCCAGCAGCCGCAGUAA
rnacentral:rRNA from 1 species